CAGGUGGUCAGGUAGAGAAUACCAAGGCGCUUGAGAGAACUCGGGUGAAGGAACUAGGCAAAAUGGUGCCGUAACUUCGGGAGAAGGCACGCUGAUAUGUAGGUGAAGUCCCUCGCGGAUGGAGCUGAAAUCAGUCGAAGAUACCAGCUGGCUGCAACUGUUUAUUAAAAACACAGCACUGUGCAAACACGAAAGUGGACGUAUACGGUGUGACGCCUGCCCGGUGCCGGAAGGUUAAUUGAUGGGGUCAGCGCAAGCGAAGCUCUUGAUCGAAGCCCCGGUAAACGGCGGCCGUAACUAUAACGGUCCUAAGGUAGCGAAAUUCCUUGUCGGGUAAGUUCCGACCUGCACGAAUGGCGUAAUGAUGGCCAGGCUGUCUCCACCCGAGACUCAGUGAAAUUGAACUCGCUGUGAAGAUGCAGUGUACCCGCGGCAAGACGGAAAGACCCCGUGAACCUUUACUAUAGCUUGACACUGAACAUUGAGCCUUGAUGUGUAGGAUAGGUGGGAGGCUUAGAAGUGUGGACGCCAGUCUGCAUGGAGCCGACCUUGAAAUACCACCCUUUAAUGUUUGAUGUUCUAACGUUGACCCGUGAUCCGGGUUGCGGACAGUGUCUGGUGGGUAGUUUGACUGGGGCGGUCUCCUCCUAAAGAGUAACGGAGGAGCACGAAGGUUGGCUAAUCCUGGUCGGACAUCAGGAGGUUAGUGCAAUGGCAUAAGCCAGCUUGACUGCGAGCGUGACGGCGCGAGCAGGUGCGAAAGCAGGUCAUAGUGAUCCGGUGGUUCUGAAUGGAAGGGCCAUCGCUCAACGGAUAAAAGGUACUCCGGGGAUAACAGGCUGAUACCGCCCAAGAGUUCAUAUCGACGGCGGUGUUUGGCACCUCGAUGUCGGCUCAUCACAUCCUGGGGCUGAAGUAGGUCCCAAGGGUAUGGCUGUUCGCCAUUUAAAGUGGUACGCGAGCUGGGUUUAGAACGUCGUGAGACAGUUCGGUCCCUAUCUGCCGUGGGCGCUGGAGAACUGAGGGGGGCUGCUCCUAGUACGAGAGGACCGGAGUGGACGCAUCACUGGUGUUCGGGUUGUCAUGCCAAUGGCACUGCCCGGUAGCUAAAUGCGGAAGAGAUAAGUGCUGAAAGCAUCUAAGCACGAAACUUGCCCCGAGAUGAGUUCUCCCUGACCCUUUAAGGGUCCUGAAGGAACGUUGAAGACGACGACGUUGAUAGGCCGGGUGUGUAAGCGCAGCGAUGCGUUGAGCUAACCGGUACUAAUGAACCGUGAG
rnacentral:rRNA from 1 species